ACUUUAAAAAAUUGCAUUGGGUAAACUUUUUUUUUUUUAAAAUACACUGAAUACAACUCGAUUUUCAUUGACAUACAUGUUACAAUACAAAAAUCAGUCUUGUUUACCUCACAUCCUUAGUUAUUUCUUCUCUCUUUUCAAGAUUCCAACUUCAGUAGCCUUAAUGAUUAAGAAAAUGCAAAGGGAUUUCCUUUGGUUAAGGACUAGAAAGGGGAAGAAAGAUCAUCUUAUCACUUGGGAUGUAGUGUGUAGUCGAAAGGAGUUUGGAGGUCUAGAGAUUGGGAAAACCUCCUUGAGAGAUUGUGCUCUCUUAAAAAAGUGGCUUUGGAGGUUCCCUAAGGAAAGUCGAGGUCUUUGGCAUCAAGUAAUUUCAAGCAUUUAUGGGACACACCCUAAUGGAUGGGACACUAACAAUUCGAUUAGAUGGUCACACAGAUAUCCUUGGAAGGCUAUUACACAAGUUUUUCAAGACUUUUCCCCACACACUUACUUUGUGGUGGGGAAUGGGGAAAGAAUCUGAUUUUGGGAAGAUUUAUGGUGGUGAGUUCAACCUUUGUGUUCACAAUUUUCAGGUCUUUAUAAAGUUCACAAUUUUGACAAGUUGGUAGGUGAAGAGGAGGCUGAAGCGAAUGAAGAAUCAGAGGAGGAGGUUGAGGAACCAAAGCAAAAGGGUAAGGAGUAUGCCAAGCGCAAGGGAAUUGAAUCAGAUGAGGACUCUCCUCCAAGAAAGACUGCUAGCCACCGGCGAAUGGCAUUUGUUUAUGAUAGUGAUGAGGAGUAAAAACUUGCUUCAGAAGCUUACAGUAUAAGUGAGUAUUUUCACUUACAUCUAUAGAAAGUGAUUGUUAAUAAGACUUGGUCUAUCUUGUUACAGCAGUUGAACAGUUUUAGAUACAGACUACAGUACUGAAUGUUCCUUUCUGGGACAGUAUGAACGCAUGCAUACAUGCUUUGUUAGCUUGUAUGUGCAUAUAAGGACAUGGUUUUUCAUUUGAAUUUGAAUUAAUUUCCUUGCAGAAGUUUCAAAGUUUUA